UUCUAUGCAGAGAUACUGGCUGACCUAAAAUUUGUCUAACAAGAAAAUGUAUUAACAAGUGGAAAGACUGUAUCCCAGUUGGACAGCACCUGCCAGGGACUUUUUUCAUCGCUGUCAAAGUUCCUUUGAAAAAGGAAACCUGAAAAAUGCAGUCUUUACUCCAGGUGGCUUGGAUAAAAUGAGAAUUUCAGGAAUGAGGAACAUCUAUGUGUGCCACCUUAAUUCUGUCUAGUCUGGAGGAAAAAAUAUGCCUGUUACAUUUUCUUUAUGAAGACUUCACAUCAGUAAUGAAAAGCCAAUGGAAAGGAAUUAAAACAGCAGCUGCAAAACAUGCUUUGUUGUGAAUCUGACUGACUUUCAAUCAAUCAAAUUAAAAUCCAAGGUGGAAGUCUAUCCAGCUACCACAUUGAACACAAAGCUCAUGCUGUUCUGAGUUCCUGGCCUCAGCUGCCAUCUGAAGAACUGCAUUCCAUGACUUGCUGUUAUUUUAGAGAAGACUCAUCCUUAAGGUGACAUUCCAUCCUUAAGGUGACAUUCCAUCCUUAAGGUAUUCCUAAGGUGGUGAAAUAGAAGGCUUAACAUCUCUCCCAACUUGAUGAGAAAUUGACUGCAAUUCCUA